GAUGAACGCUGGCGGCGUGCUUAACACAUGCAAGUCGAACGAAGCACUUUAUUUGAUUUCUUCGGAAUGAAGAUUUGGUGACUGAGUGGCGGACGGGUGAGUAACGCGUGGGUAACCUGCCUUAUACAGGGGGAUAACAGUUGGAAACGACUGCUAAUACCGCAUAAGCGCACAGGACCGCAUGGUCUGGUGUGAAAAACUCCGGUGGUAUAAGAUGGACCCGCGUCUGAUUAGCUAGUUGGUGAGGUAACGGCCCACCAAGGCGACGAUCAGUAGCCGACCUGAGAGGGUGACCGGCCACAUUGGGACUGAGACACGGCCCAA
rnacentral:rRNA from 1 species